AGCAGCCGCGGUAAUUCCAGCUCCAAUAGCGUAUAUUAAAGUUGUUGCAGUUAAAAGCUCGUAGUUGAAUUUCGGGGUUAGUAGGUUGGUCAUGCCUCUGGUAUGUACUGGUCUCACUGAUUCCUCCUUCCUGAUGAACCUUAAUGCCAUUUAUUUGGUGUUUUGGGGAAUUUGGACUGUUACUUUGAAAAAUUAGAGUGUUUAAAGCAAGCUAACGCUUGAAUACAUUAGCAUGGAAUAAUGAAAUAGGACGUUCGAUCCUAUUUUGUUGGUUUCUAGGAUUGACGUAAUGAUUAAUAGGGAUAGUUGGGGGCAUUAGUAUUCAAUUGUCAGAGGUGAAAUUCUUGGAUUUAUUGAAGACUAACUACUGCGAAGGCAUUUGCCAAGGAUGUUUUCAUUAAUCAAGAACGAAAGUUAGGGGAUCGAAGACGAUCAGAUACCGUCGUAGUCUUAACCAUAAACUAUGCCGACUAGGGAUCGGAUGAUGUUAAUUUUUAAUGACUCAUUCGCGCCUUACGGG
rnacentral:rRNA from 1 species